GAAGCAGUCUGUGUUUCCUUGUUCUCCCAAGCUGCUCCCGGCGCUGUAACUAACCCAGCUGAACGGCAUACCUGAGUGUUACUUUAAAUAAUUAGGAAUCUUAGAAGGAAAGGACAGAACUCUGCUUAUCGCUCACGCCACGGAGGAAACCCGGGAAGGCAAUUUCCUUCAAUUUUGGUGUCAGAAGUGGGAUCCCUGACAGAAGGAACAUCCUCUGUGUCAGCUGGACCCUCAGCAGAGAAUGAACUCAACAUCCUUUUUGUCCGGUACUCUAUGUCACACACUGUGCCAAAAAAACGUGUACAGA
ensembl:lncRNA